GUGGUGGUUCAGCGGUAGAGUGCUCGCUUAGCAUGUGCGAGGAGGCCCUGGGUUCAAUCCUCAGCACCACA
rnacentral:tRNA from 1 species